rnacentral:rRNA from 1 species
AGUGAACGCUGGCGGUAGGCCUAACACAUGCAAGUCGAACGGCAGCACAGUAAGAGCUUGCUCUUACGGGUGGCGAGUGGCGGACGGGUGAGGAAUACAUCGGAAUCUACUUUUUCGUGGGGGGUAACGUAGGGAGACUUACGCUAAUACCGCAUACGACCUACGGGUGAAAGCAGGGGAUCUUCGGACCUUGCGCGAGUGAAUGAGCCGAUGUCGGAUUAGCUAGUUGGCGGGGUAAAGGCCCACCAAGGCGACGAUCCGUAGCUGGUCUGAGAGGAUGAUCAGCCACACUAGAACUGAGACACGGUCCAGACUCCUACGGGAGGCAGCAGUGGGGAAUAUUGGACAAUGGGCGCAAGCCUGAUCCAGCCAUACCGCGUGGGUGAAGAAGGCCUUCGGGUUGUAAAGCCCUUUUGUUGGGAAAGAAAAGCAGCAGGUUAAUACCCCGCUGUUCUGACGGUACCCAAAGAAUAAGCACCGGCUAACUUCGUG